GUUGAAUACUUAGGUUUUGUUCUGGCUUUAGGCACCAGACAAUUGAGUCCAAAACGUAUUGAGGUCAUUCAGAGGAUUCCUACACCCACUACUCGGAAGGAGUUGCUCACCUUCCUCGGCAUGAUUAAUUACUGCCACCAAUGGAUCCCUGAAUGCUCCCAUUAUAACUCAAUCCUAAGGGAGGCUGUACGUUCUGACAGCCCUGAAAAUGUCUGCUGGUCACCAGACAUGCUAGCUGCAUAUAUUGCCCUUACAGUUGUUAUUGUGCAAGCCCAGGCUUUAGGACUACCUGUGUAUUGUAAACCAUUUCAUUUGUAUGCUUGGGACAAUUGUAAAACCAUGGCCGCGGUCUGUGCACAAGAGCAAGGAGGCGGUAUGCGUCCCAUAGCAUUCUUUUCCAAAGUAGUUCAAGCUCCGGUACAGGGUAUGCCGGCGUGUCUCAGAGCAUUGAUAGCAUGUGCAAUGGCUGUUGAAACUGCUACUACUAUCACACUAGGGCAUCCUACAAUACUUCAUGCCAGUCACCAGGUCACUCAGCUGAUAAUAAAUCUCACCACACAACACAUGACAGCCCAGCGCUUCAGUGGUUAUGAGAUUCUUUUUUUUUAAUACCCAGAAUCUGUCUUUUGGAUUAAACAAGGUUUAGAGAAAGAUCAAAAUGAUCUGUUCUCUAAAGAGGGGAGAAUAGGCAUACUUGAAGAAUAGGCAUACUUGAAGCAAGCUGAUUUAUUUUCAUCAGUCAGGCACAUAGCAAGCACCAUUCAAUUCCUCAUGAAUUCAUUUUAUAUUAGGAAUCUCAGGCAGCAUGUACAGUCUUUUGUAAGAUCGUGUGAACGCUGCUCUUUUUACACACUUACAGAUUGAUUUUAUUCAUGUAUCCAAAAUUGGUAAGAAACAGCAAUACUUACUGGUCAUAGUUAAUCAGUUUAGUGGAUGGCAUGAUGCCUUUGUGACAUCUAGGGAAGAUGCUAGUGAAGAUUAUUGUUACUGAAAUUAUUCCCAGGUAUGGCUGCCCUCUGCAGAUUGGCUCUGAUAAUGGCCCGGUUUUUGCAAGUGGGGUUGCCCAGGAACUUGCUAAAUUCUUGCAAGUUACCUGGCAGUUUCAUAUACCCUAUCAUCCACAGAAUACAGGGUAGUUGAAAGGAUGAAUAGGACUAUUAAGGAAAAGCCCAGAAUUUACCCAGGAACAUGGGUAAAUUGGACUAGAUAUCUACCAGCUAUUUUAGCUGAGAUAAGAAUAUAUCCCCACAAGGUGAAUUGUUGAUAAAACCGAAUGGUAUGUAUGACAAUGUUUCUUCGCAGUUUUCCCUUACCUUCACAGGAACCUACUCAUUCAUACCAGCCCGGUGACAAGGUGUAUAUCCGUCAGCUGAACAGGACCAAGAAAGGAGGAUACCCUUUUGGACCACCUGCUACUGUGAUUGCUGUAACCAGAACCGCUGUCCUCACAGAUUCCCAUGACAUCUGGAUUCACGCAUCCCGAGUGAAGCUGUGUCCAAAGAGGGGAACCAAGGAAGACAACACCACUCCUCGCUCGGAAACAGAAGAAUUUCUCCUCAGCGAAGCAUCAUGGCUUUUACACCAUAUCGUAGAUUGAGAGGAUCAUACGUACCUGAGACCAAGAUUAUGUUGUGCGCUAUGCUUUCUGGAGUUGUUAUACUCCCUCUGAUAUUGUUCCUUGAAUGCCAUUAUGAGUACAAGUCAAUGGCAAGUUCUGGAAAAAGACUCUGACAUGAUGAACAAUUCUUCAAUACCCCCAGCCCAAUUAGGCCUUAGCCCCUCAUCUAGCAUUCGUCACACACGCCCCCUCAAGAACCUUUCUCCACCACCUUUCUAUCAGCAUGCAAUAUGCAAUCAUUCAUUUACUGAACGCAUUUGGAUGAAUUGGACAAAUAGUAACCCUUAUAAGUACCAGUUACCCAUAUGAAAUGUGUCUACAGCUAAUGAAACCGAUGCAUUAUGUUUGUUUAAAGGUUCACAGAAAAUUGUUAGAUCUUAUAACGCAGAAAUGUGCACAGUUAAGGUUGCAUAUCAAUGUAAACAGACAGGCCUUAUUACUUUUAAUAAUGAUUAUAUAACUGGUAUCAUUAAUUGGAGAAGGGGACAAAUGUUAGUCAUUAUGAACGACACUACAAUUGAGAACUAUACACUACCUUAUAUUUUUACACCUUAUUACUGUCCUUUAUCCUCUACCAUAGAACCAAAAGUCAAACACGACACACACACACACCUAUUUCGUCCACAUGUAUUAAUACAACUGCCUUCUUACAAGCUGUACAUGUGUCAUUAAAAGUCACUACUCUUGUUGUAACAUUAUGUAAUACAACAAACAAAGGCAGAAAAGGGAAUGGUAUGACACACUGUUAGGAGGUGCUGGAACCACUAUGGGUAUAUUAAAUAGUUAUAGAUAUGGAGACCCUCAAGAAUAAGUUAAACACAGCCAGUAUGCAUAUAGGGACUGGUUUCCAUGCUACUGCAAAUUGGGCUCCAAUUGUUGUUAAAUCACAGGUUAUAGGAUUGGAUUUAGAUAAAUCAAUGUAUAAUUAUUUAGAUAAUUUAACUGUUGCAACUAUGAAAUUCACUACAGGUCUAAGUAACUGGAGUACUUGUGCCAUCAGGUAUUUAUGGAUACAACAACAAGGAUUGGCAUUAGAAAACACACUAAUGAUUCCUAAACUAGAGAAGAUUAGAGGAAAGCUUAACCUCACAGAUAAUGAAUGGUUACUUCUAAAACCCCAAUCCACUAAAUGCAAUGGAUGGUUAACUGGUAAUGUUUCACAUUUUUCAUGCUCAUGUUAUUUUACAUUAUAUCAUACAUCAUCAAAGGAUGUUAAAUUAGCUUGUCAAUUUAACACAUUACCAGUACCAGUUUAUGAUCUUUUUGCCAAGAAUUUAACCUGGUGGGCACCCACAUACACAGGGGACUAUAUUUUUCCCAAAGAUAACACACACAGGUAGCCACACAUAUCCUAAAAGGAGAACUCCUUAAGGUGAGUUCACAAAUUCAGAAUGAUUUAGCCCAUCAUUGGUACAAUGCUUUACUGGUUGGUCCCCUACUGGAUCCCAGAUAAUGAAAUCAUUCUUCUAUCCUUUUGUUAUUAUAGUCCUGAUUUUAUUGUGCAUGAUUUUAUAUAACUAUCACCUUACUUGUACAUUGAGGAAGUGAGUACAGAAAUGAAUCCAUAAUGCAGAACAGAAACAAUUAGAAAUUCUCCUCUCUGCCACUGUAGAGUAUCAACCCAUCUUUAAACUGGGCCUUAGGAAUUACCACAUGGGAAUCGAGGUGAAGAAAUUAAUGAAAGUCCCGCAGGGAGUGACUAGCACCCCUGAAAAUACCAUGUGGAAGUUUCUCUGUCCUGGUAAGAUUUUAUCGAUAAGAUGAGCAAUUGUUUUAUUGCUCAAAGAGGGGAAUGUAAGAAUAUUAAAUAGUUAACUUGUUUAUAUGUAUUUUAUGCUUUUAUAAGGUUUAUAACAUGAUUAUUGCUGACUGAAGGAAUAUUGAAUACUUAAAGUCAAUAUGCUGACUGUGACAGACUAAGGUAUUUCUUCUAUAGGAUGUAAGACAAUGCUAAAAUUUCAGGAUGUCUUGCCCAUUCCGAUUUCAGGAUAUUCUUUUCCAGACGUAUGCAAAAGCUUAUCUUUCCAUUGUCAGAAUAACGUAAUACAAGGAAGUAAUAAAUCUUAUAGUCUGUACUGUAUUUG